UGGAUUUUUUUUUCUAGAACUAUCGCGAGAGAGCGUGGCAGAGAGGAGCUGAACCAGAAAACACAUGCCAUCUCCGUCUCUUUCUUCCUCCUUCGUCUUCAACUUAGCCGCUGCGCGUGCGAACGUGUCGUUGCUGUCCUAGUUCAUAGCUUCUUCCUUUUCCUCUGUUUCUCACUGUCGGACCCUUCUUUUUCCUUCUCCAUUCUGUCUGACGGAGGGUGGCAAGCACGUGAAGAUCCGAGCUGUUGUUGGAAGUCCGAGUAUGUUUCUUCCACCCCUGCUCGCAGCAUCAUCCCCUUCUUCCUUCCACUGUCUCUCGCUGCAGAAUUUCUGCUUCUCUUGUUCGUUUGUGCUGCUGUAAAUUCUCUCCUCCCCUGUUCUGCGAUUCCACGUGUUGGUCUGGGUGUGCACGUUGGAGUUUUGAUCUUCCCCUUCAUUCUUUGUUCUUCUGCAGCAGUGUUGAUCAUUUGCAGCUUAGGAGUGGAGAAAAUAAAGAUGCAUUUUCAAGUUGAAAUUAAAGGUUAAGGAGUUCAUUUGAGGAUUAAAGAGCAAUCAUUGUGGCAAAAGGGACCAGUUAGUAGUAAGUUAUAUAUUCGGAAACUUUACAGAUUCAUUAGUUGAUGCUGAACCUCCUACCAAUCAUUGAGAGGCUUACUACUAUGCUGGGUGACUACUUAUUUUUUUUUUAAAAAAAAGUGCCUUUUCUUUUGAUGUAAAUAUUCAAUUAUAUGUUCUAUUUUGAGAUUAUAUUUUAAGUGCUCCACAUUAACCAUAGGUAGGAUGCUGAUCUGUAAAUUUAUAUCGAUUGUCUGUUGUGGAGGGGCAGUGCUCCAUACUAUUGAUUUGCAUAUAAAUGGUUGUUGUAGAAAUUUCAGGAGGUCUCAUUUAUAGAGAGAGUUUUGCUAAAAUUUUUACAAAAAUUUUAGGAACCUUUUGUUUAUAUGGGAAAUGCUAUUACAAUUCCCAACCUUAUUUUAAAUGAAUUAAGAUUUUAAAUUAAAAUUUUCUUGAUUAAGGCUUAAGGGAUAUGUGCUUGUGUAUAUAUCCUGUGCCGGUUACAUCUAAUUUUGGGACGUGACACCUUCCCUCCUAUUGACCAGUCUGUGUUGGCACAGCGUGCUACUAGAUUUCACAAAUAGGAAAUUAAAGCUGUGUUUGAAAUGGGCCUCUCAAAUCUCUUGCGCCUGAUGGUUUUAAUGCUCUUUUCUUUCAAAAUCAGUGGGAUAGAAUUGGUAGCUCUAUUGUGGAUAUUGUUCAAUUUAUUUGUGAUCAUCCGAGCACUAUUAAAGACAUUAAUAGUACUCUUAUUGUCCUCAUUCUGAAGAAGAAUCCUCUAGAGUCUCUUAGGGAUUUGAGGCAGACAAGUUUGUGCAAUGUGAUUUUUAAGACUAUAACCCAGUUGAUUUCGAAGCAGAUACUUUUCUCCCUCAGAUAAUGUCCCCGAAUCAGUGCAACUUUGUUCUAGGAGGUUGUUCACUCUAUGAAAUCCAUGAAAUGUAAAAAAAAGGUUCAUGAAAAUUAUGAUUGAUUUGGAAAAAGCAUAUGACAAGAUUAACUGGAAAUUUGUGGGCAAAUGUGUUCAAGAAUUACAACUUCCUCAAUCUAUGAUUGAGCUUAUUUAUGAAGCCAUCUCUACUGCUAAUAAGCAUAUACUUUGAAACGAGGUUAAAGCUGACUCCUUUAGGCCCUCAUGUGAGAUUCGUGAGGGCGACCCUAUGUCUCCAUAUCUCUUUGUAAUUUGCAUGGAGAAGUUAGCACACAUUAUACAAUCGAAGAUGAAUUCAGGUGAUUAGAAGCCAAUUCAUCUCACUAAGACGGGGCCUCCUAUUUCUCAUCUCUUUUUUGUAGAGGAUAUUAUAUCAUUUGCUAAUGUGAGUUUUCAACAAGUCGAGAUGAUUAGAUCUUUCCUUGAGAUGUUUUGUGAAGCUUCUGUGCUCAAGGUCAUAAUACUCUAGUGACUUCUGUGACUUCAGCUAUUCUAGUUCAUGUCAUGCAGACUUCUCUACUUCCUAUUAGUGCUUGUGAUCCCAUCAAUAAGUGUAACCAUGAUUUUUCAUGGUAUAGCUCUAAUGGAGUUAGGAAAACACACUUGGUGGCUUUGGAUGAGGGAUGUCAACUUAAGAAGCAAGGGGCCUUAGUUUAAGACAUGUAAAGAAUCAAAAUUCUGCCCUGCUCAUGAAGCUUGGUUGGGGUUUGUGUAAGAAUUGGGAUAACUUUUGGGUUAAAGUGGUGAGGAAAAAAUACCAUUGUGGAGAGGAUCUAAUUCCUAAGAUCAAUGCCAAACGUCCUAAUGUUUGGGCAGGGAUAAAAGCCAAUUAGGAGAAGGCAGAAGCAAGUCUGGAACGCAACCAUGAUAAUUUGAUGAUUCAUUGGCGUGGUGAAAAGAAUGGCCUCUUUUCUGUUAAGUCUGCAAAUAACUUGAUUAAAAACAACUCACAGUGACCAGAUCCAAGAUGGAAUAAAAUUUGGAAAAUGCAAGUUCCUCAACAUUGCCUAUGUUUUUUGUGGCUAUCAUAGAGAGGAAGGUUGCUUACUAACUUUCAUAAAAAAAAAAAAAAAAGCACGGUACGUGUGCUAAUGACAAGUGUCCAAUAUGCAAUGAGGGGUUGGAAGAUGUUAUCCACAUGCUUACAGAUUGUACUCAAAUGAAACUGAUGUGGCAAAAGCUUGUUUCACCAUCGGCUUGGUCUUGGUUCAUGACUUCAAGUUUAUGGGACUAGUUCCUAAUUAAUAUCUCAAGGAGAGAGAGUGGUUCUAAUGGGAGCUAGGGGCGCUAUUCUCGGUGAUAUGCUGGGGUCUUUGGCAUAGCAGGAAUAACUUUGUUUCUAAGGGGAAGUUAAUCCGGCAUGAUGUCAUGGCUCGUGCACUUGUGAUGAUUGAAACCAUUAGUGAUAUGAAAAAAACAAUUAUCUACCUUUGCACCUAGCUCUAAUGCAGUAGUAGGGAGGAUGACAAGAUGGACGGCACUAAAUGAGGGGUGGUUCAAGCUAUACGUUAAUGGGACUUUAUCUACAUCAAGCCAUGCUAUGGCUUGUGGUGGUUUGACCCGUGAUGACAGGGGGGUCAAUUUCGAAUUGGUUUUCUUUGUCGUUUGAAGGAAGGUGAUUGUUUAACUGCUAAAUUAUGGGCUUGCUUAGUUGGACUUAAAAUAGCUUGGGACACUGGGUUGUGAAGAAUCAUGCUUGAAUCGAAUUCUAUGGACACAUUAGAGCUUCUUCUUCAUGUUCCUAAUCUUGAGCAUCAUGACUACAAUAUUUUGUUAGAGAUUCAAAGUUUACGUGAACGGGAUUGGGAAAUUCAAGUGCACUAUGUUCGGCGUGAGGGAAAUACUGUUGCUGAUUUCUUAGCAAAGUAAGGUCUGGCUACUCCCCUUGGCUUCCACGUGAUGGUGUAUCCAUUUAAGGAACUUUGAAGGCUAAUUGAUUUGGAUUGCCCUAAUAGGGCUCAUCAGGUUUUGGUUAGGUAACUGUGUUACCUCUUUAUUUAUCCCAAAAAAAAAAGAACAUAAUGUUUGUCUGUUUGAUAUGUUAUUAAAUUCUCUAUAAAGUAAUCGAAUUGUUUGUUUCUCA